AUACCCUAUUAUUUUUAAUGUAAAAAAAAUUGAAACCUGAGUACUAUUAGUUAUGAUCUUUAAACUUAAAGAAUUUGGCGGUAUUAUAGUCUAUUUAGAGGAAUCUGUUAAGUAAUCGAUAGUCCACGUUGAACCUUACUUGCUUAAAUUUCUUGUAUACCGCUGUUUAAUGAAUCUACUUUUAGGUUAUUUUCUGGAUAUAUUAUUAAUUAAAAUUUCAAGUCAAGGUGCAGUAAUAGGUAAGUUGAAUAAUGGAUUACAAUAAAUUUUAUUUAAACGGAUUAAGAACUGAAAUGUUAUUUGAAGGUGGAUUUAAAUGUAAUUUUAUAAAGAUUAUUAAAGUGAUUUAAAGCUCUAUAAUAUGUACACAUCGCCC
rnacentral:rRNA from 1 species